rnacentral:rRNA from 1 species
GUAGGGAAUAUUGGACAAUGGGCGAAAGCCUGAUCCAGCCAUGCCGCGUGAUAGAUGAAGGCCCUCUGGGUUGUAAAUAUCUUUUAUCUGGGAAGAAACUCCUCUAUUCUUAGAGGCCUGACGGUACCAGAGGAAUAAGCACCGGCUAACUCCGUGCCAGCAGCCGCGGUAAUACGGAGGGUGCAAGCGUUAUCCGGAUUCACUGGGUUUAAAGGGUGCGUAGGCGGGUUGAUAAGUCAGUGGUGAAAGCUCCGGGCUUAACUUGGAAACUGCCAUUGAUACUGUCAAUCUUGAAUGUCGUAGAGGUAAGCGGAAUGUUGCAUGUAGCGGUGAAAUGCUUAGAUAUGUUACAGAACACCAAUUGCGAAGGCAGCUUACUAUGCGAUAAUUGACGCUGAGGCACGAAAGCGUGGGGAGCAAACAGGAUUAGAUACCCCGGUAGUCC